rnacentral:misc_RNA from 1 species
CUCCACUUCUCCACUCCGUCCCAUCUCUCUCUGUGCCCCCCCCUUCCUUAUUCUCCACCUCCACAGUAGAGGGAAUGGAGGAAGACAAGAGAGAGAAGCUAUAAAUACACUCACGAGAGAUAGAGAGGGAGAGAGAGAAGAGAUGGUGGAUGAUUUCAUGGUGUGUGUGGACAGAAUAAUUGCCUCUGCUUGCUUCGAGUCAGUUAAUCGAGAAAGAGACAGAAACAUUGAAGAAACUUUCAAGAAUGAGACUGUUAUGCCUGUAAAAAGCAACGGAGAAGGGUGUUCCUCUUUAAAGAAGAUGAAAGAGACUGUGGAAUGUAGGAUAUGCCAGGAGGAAGAUGAGGUCGACUCAAUGGAGGCUCCCUGUGCUUGCAAUGGCACCCUCAAGUUUGCUCAUAGAAAGUGCAUUCAGAGAUGGUGCAACAAAAAAGGCAAUAUCACCUGUGAAAUCUGCAACCAUGUCUUCUCACCAAAUUAUUCUUUUCCACCUGCCCGCAGCAAUCCUGAUGUUAUGUCAAUUGAUAUCAGGCAAGCAUGGCGUGAGUCACAGCUUCUAGCUCUAGCAGCUGCUGAGCGUCAGUUACUUCAAUCAGAGUAUGAGGAUUAUGCUGUUGCUAAUACAAGCAGCAUUGCUUGUCUUCGAUCGGUCACUCUGAUUUUGCUGGUAGUUUUGCUUCUAUUCCAAGCUCUACUGGUUACAAGAGAUAUUGGGAUGGUGCAGGAAUCGUCAACACUCUUCAAUUUUCAGGUUUCUCUUCUUCGAUUUGCUGGCUUUCUUUUGCCAUGUUAUGUGAUGGCCCGAUCAUGCUACGUUGUACAAGGCCGAAGGAGACAGGUAUAGAUUAAGCUAUACUGAGAAUGAUAUUUCAUUUCAUUUAUAAAAGCGCCACAAAUUUUUUACCAUGUUUCUUGUUAUUUUCUAUGAAUAUUAUGGAAUAUCUUUUGAUGCUUUAACUGCAAUCCAUCACCUAGAAAGAGUAUUCAGAUAGUUUCACAGAGAUUAUAUCUGUGCUUAAGUGAUGCAUUCCAAGGUGUAAUUUUAACUUGCUGGGGAUGGUACAGAACAGAACUAACAACUUGGACUUCAGGGGCCGAAGUUAAAAUGAUGUGUGGGGCAUAAAUACUUAAAUGAGCUUAAAUCCAAAGUUGGAGAGUAAUUUGAGGUUAGUUUUGGGUGAGAGUUCUUGCGGAGCUAUUAAUAUUUAUUCAGUUUUUUUUUUAACGAGUAUAACAUUGCACUUGUUAAGGUUCAUUAAAUAUACUUAUUUAUUACUAACUUUGCAUCGGGAAUUAUUAAUAUUACAUAAAAAUGUGUAAUAUUACAUUGAAAAGGAUCCAAUAUCACGUAGAAAAUCUAACUUCUUACGUUAUCAAUAUAAAAUUAGUAAUAAAUAAGCAUAUUUAAUGAAUCUUAAGAAGUGUAAUGUUGCACUCGUUAGAAAAGGUACGCAUACAAGUUGUAUUUUAAACACAUUAUUUAAAUUUAACCUGUGAAAUUCUGGUUUUAUCUUAUUUGACUUGUGUCAUUUUUCCUUUUCUUUAUAUAGGGUUAAGUGUAACAUUGUUGAUACCAUCCUCUUCUGCUCAGAGGGGACAGACAAUUCUUCUCUUUUUGGCUUUUGCUUCUUGGGCAAGCUCUAUUGCUGCCUAUGGCAGUUUUCCAAGUUGUAUUUAAGUUGAAAGAUGUCAAAAUUAAUCUGAAAAAUUGUUCAAGUGUUAGUGUUUUACUUCAGCCACUGGAGAACUCAAAAAGAAAAUGUAAAUGUGAAAAGAGAACAAUGAGUUCUUCAGGUGUUUUCUUUUCUUUUUAUUUGCUCUGUAUGCAUUUUAGUGCAUAGAUGCAAUGAGUAUUAUCAAACUUUUUGCAACAGGUGAAAACGUCAUUGGCCCCAAAUCCAUUAUCCAUGAU